rnacentral:rRNA from 1 species
AACGAACGCUGGCGGCGUGCUUAAUACAUGCAAGUCGAACGAGAAAGGCUGGCUUCGGCCGGCCCGGUAAAGUGGCGAACGGGUGAGUAACACGUGGGCAAUCUACCCUUAAAUCUGGGAUAAUCCUUCGAAAGGGGGCCUAAUACCGGAUAACACCAUAGGAUGGCAUCAUCCAGUGGUCAAAGGCGGAGCAAUCUGCCGUUUAGGGAUGAGCCCGCGCCCCAUUAGCUUGUUGGUGAGGUAACGGCUCACCAAGGCUUCGAUGGGUAGCCGGCUUGAGAGAGUGAUCGGCCACACUGGGACUGAGAUACGGCCCAGACUCCUACGGGAGGCAGCAGUAGGGAAUAUUGCGCAAUGGACGAAAGUCUGACGCAGCAACGCCGCGUGGGUGAUGAAGCAUCUUGGUGUGUAAAACCCUGUCAGUGGGGAAGAACCAUAUCGGUAGUAACUGACCGGUAUCUGACGGUACCCACAGAGAAGCACCGCUAACU